UGAUCAUCCACGAGCGCCGUGCAGGGUCGCUGAGAACAACAGGAAGUGCAGAUGCCGGAGAAUUCGAGACAACACGGUGCAGAGCUGGAUGAACAUAGCAGGUCAAGCAGCAUCAGAGGAGCAGGAAAGCUGGCGUUUCGGGUCUCGAUCCUUCGCUGAGACCAAGAUUUGUGCAAUUGAGGAUUCGAAGCCAGGUCCCCAGGAUGUUAUCUGGGUCUCUGGAUAAAUAAUCUAGCGAUAAUACUGCUGCCGAUUUUAUCACCUGCGGAGGAUGGUCUAUGGCAUUCUGCAGGAGCCAUGAGACUUCCAGGCGUCAGAGUCAGUGUCGAGUACUCCCAGAUUUCUACAAUUUUACUUCUGCGCUGUUCUUAGUCUUUCAGCGGGAUUGAAAGGUUGAGUUACAGAUCUAUACAAUGCCUGUCCUUCCCCCCUGGCUGUCCCACCUCUCUUUCCGUAAUUUUGUGCAAACAGACUGGAUUGCUUACCUGGAUGAUAUUUAUUUGUGAAUGAAUUUGUUCUAAUGAUGAUCUAGCAUAUUCCCCAAGUGUCGCUCCACAAAUGUCCAGAGGAUUUCUCAGUUGCACAAUCUGUUUUCUUCUGGUUUCUCACUCACUGCACUUACUUUCUGUUUGAAAGCUUAGUCUGCAAUUUGGAGAAUUCAAACUGUUCCACAUCCAGGUCUGACAGUCAUUUUGUUUAUCACAACCCAAUUAUCUCAGUAUUUUGAACAUUGAAGGAAAAAGCAGCACUCACACUUUGGAGAAAUGCAAAUGGUUUGUGUGUCAAAGAGUCUGUGAAGAUUCAUCUGAAAUGUCCUAACACCAGCGCAGUGACAGUGGGGAGAGACUGUGGAAAUGGGAAGAUUGCAGGAAGGAAUUUCUUCAUCCAUCCCAGCUAGAAACUGACCACCAGUGUCACACUGGAGAGAGACCAUUCACCUGCUCUGAUUAUGGAAUGGGAUUCGCUCAGUCAUCUAACCUGCUUAAACACCAGGGAGCUCUCACUGGAGAGAAACCAUUUACUUGCUCGGAAUGUGGGAAAGCAUUCACUCAGACAACUUAACUGCUGAUACACGCGCAAAUUCACACUGGAGAGAGACCAUUGGCCUGUUGUGUGUGGGAAAGGCUUUGCUGACUUGAAUUCCCCUCUGACACACCAGCAAGUUCACUCUGGGGAGAGACCAUUCAUGAGCUCUGAGUGUGGGAAAGCAUCCAAACAGUGGUUCACAAAGAAGCACAAUUGAAGGAUUUUGCUCUCACUCUCAUGAUCAAAUGAACCAUAGUUUUGGGCUGUUUGUACUGAUGUUACUGAUCCUGCUCAAUUAAAAGUACUGGUAUUGUGGAUAAAAUGUUAAUAACAGUUGUAUAUCUGUCAGGUAGAGCUUGGAAAUAGUCACGUCAUCACGACACAUCGACACAUUCACACUGACGAAAGACUAUCCACCUGCACAGCAUGUGAAAAGGGGUUUCCUGGUUCAUCAGGACUGGUUAACUACCAGCCAAUUUGAGUAACUUUUUUUUUAUUCUGCUGUUAGCUGUCUCCAAACCAGGUAUUUUUGGGCUUGUUUCUGGAGACCACAGAAUCCCUUCAGUGUGGAAGCAGACGAUUUGGCCCAUCAAGUUCACACUGAACCUAUGAAGAGUGUCCUACCCAGACCCUGUCUGCGUUGGUGUCCUCCCACAGUCCAUUAAAUGUGCAAAAUAGGUCGAUUGACUAUGCUCAAUUACCCUUAGUGUCUUGUGUGCAAAAUGCAAGGACAGAGUAGGGUGUGAGACUGGGUGGGAUGGUCUUUGGAGGAUUUGUGUGGACUCAAGGGACUGAAUGGCCAUCUUCCACACUGUAGAAAUUCCACACUGUAGGAAUUCUAUGUUGAUCUCGAUGGCCCUUUAUUUGUUAGUUAUGCCUGGUCAAUAUGUCUGCACACCUUUUACAAUUACGGAUCCUAUUGCUCUCCACAGACACAUUUCAAAUUUUAAUAGAUAUUUGUCGAUUGGAAAUGAUGUAAUGUUUUCUUUUGAUUUUUGGCCACAAAAUGAAAGUUUUAAAUCUAAACAAAAGAUUGGGAUGAGUCCUGUACUAUAUCCUGAUUGCAUUUUCCCAAUAGGCUAUGAAACCUGGUGCCUACUGUGACUCUGUUCGAGGCGGGGUGGGAAAGAUCUUCAGAUCUUUACCUGUAGUCCAUAGCAGUGAUGGAUCUCAUGAUGAAUACCGAUACAGUAGGCAUCACACAAUGUCUUGGUUUAUUUUCUAUUUAGUCUGCUGUCCUUUACUCCACAGAGACCGAGAUAAUGGUCUGCGGGCCGAGGUUUGAAUCCCACCAUUCCAGAUGGUGGAAUUUGAGUUUUUUUUUUAAAAAAUCUGGAAAUAAGAACCUAAUGAUGACUGUGAAUCCAUUGUCAUUGUUGGAAAAACCUAUGUCCUUUAGGGAAGGAAACUUCCAAUGUUAUCCAGUGAUAUCAAGAUCCCAUGAAUGAAUUUUUUAAAAAAUGUCCUGCAAAUACAUUUAUCUCUGUCUUAACUUAUUUUACAACCGACUGUUCAAACUGGUUGAUGGUCACUUUCCCCUUUGAUCAAGUUGUGUCCAUUUCAUGGUUGAAACAAAAAAAAAUGCAUGAAUGGAACCAUAGUUGUUCUUUGUAGGAACAAUACAUGCUCUGACAUGUUUGAAAAAGAAAACUCAUCUCACUUAUGAGCCAGAUAUCAAAGUUGACCAGAUCCUGAUGCUGUGUGAAAUUCUUCACUGUCUUAUCUACUUGUGUUGCUGUUUCAGGGAGCUAUGGACUUGAACCUCCCAAACUCCUGAACACCUUGAGAAUUUCAUCAAACUGACCCCCAGUGGCAGGAAUGGACAGGGUCAGCUUGGAAUGAUGAACAUAAUUCAGGCUCAACAAAUCUACUGGACCAUUUUGAGAAUGUAAUUAGUAGUGAGUGUGGCCACCUCUCUGUACUGUAGUGAUACAGAUCCCCUGAUCCUGCUUGCCCCAAAUGGCUGAUAUUAAAU